CCGCACAAGCGGCGGAGCAUGCGGAUUAAUUCGAUGCAACGCGAAGAACCUUACCAAGGCUUGACAUACACCGGUAACGCCCAGAGAUGGGUGCCCCUUUGUGGUCGUGUACAGGUGGUGCAUGGUUGUCGUCAGCUCGUGUCGUGAGAUGUUGGGUUAAGUCCCGCAACGAGCGCAACCCUCGUCCUAUGUUGCCAGCGGGUCAUGCCGGGGACUCAUGGGAGACUGCCGGGGUCAACUCGGAGGAAGGUGGGGAUGACGUCAAAUCAUCAUGCCCCUUAUGUCUUGGGCUUCACGCAUGCUACAAUGGCCGGUACAAAGGGCUGCGAUACCGCGAGGUGGAGCGAAUCCCAGAAAGCCGGUCUCAGUUCGGAUUGGGGUCUGCAACUCGACCCCAUGAAGUCGGAGUCGCUAGUAAUCGCAGAUCAGCAACGCUGCGGUGAAUACGUUCCCGGGCCUU
rnacentral:rRNA from 1 species